rnacentral:rRNA from 1 species
CGCGCAGGUGGUUUAAUAAGUCUGAUGUGAAAGCCCACGGCUCAACCGUGGAGGGUCAUUGGAAACUGUUAAACUUGAGUGCAGGAGAGAAAAGUGGAAUUCCUAGUGUAGCGGUGAAAUGCGUAGAGAUUAGGAGGAACACCAGUGGCGAAGGCGGCUUUUUGGCCUGUAACUGACACUGAGGCGCGAAAGCGUGGGGAGCAAACA